AGAGUUUGAUCCUGGCUCAGGAUGAACGCUGGCGGCGUGCUUAACACAUGCAAGUCGAACGAAACACCUUAUUUGAUUAAACUUCGGAACUGAAGAUUUGGUGAUUGAGUGGCGGACGGGUGAGUAACGCGUGGGUAACCUGCCCUGUACAGGGGGACAACAGUUAGAAGGAAUAAUACCGCAUAAGACCACAGCACCGCAUGGUGCAGGGGUAUCUGAUUAGCUGGUUGGGAGGUAACGGCUCACCAAGGCGACGAUCAGUAGCGGGGCUUGAGAGAGUGAACGGCCACAUUGGGACUGAGACACGGCCCAAACUCCUACGGGAGGCAGCAGACACGUGCUGAUUGCACAACUCCGGUGGUACAGGAUGGACCCGCGAUGGGGGAAACCCUGAUGCAGCGACGCCGCGCCCGGCUAACUACGUGCCAGCAGCCGCGGUAAUACGUAGGGGGCAAGCGAUGAUUGCUUUAUCCGGAAUUACUGGGUGUAAAGGGUGCGUAGGUGGUAUGGCAAGUCAGAAGUGAAAACGAGGCCCAGGGGUAAGCGGAAUUCCUAGUGUGCUUAACUCUGGGACUGCUUUUGAAACUGUCAGACAGAGUGCAGGAGUAGAGAAGCGGUGAAAUGCGUAGAUAUUAGGAGGAACAUCAGUGGCGAAGCCGGCUUGGCGUUCGCAACUGGACUGAAACUGACACUACGAAAGCGUGGGGAGCAAACAGGAUUAGAUCCUGGUAGUCCACGCCGUAAACGAUGAAUACUAGGUGUCGGGCCGUAGAGGCUUCUGCCGCAGCCAACGCAGUUGGUUUAAUUAAGUAUUCCACCUGAGAAUGAAACUCAAAGAAUUGACGGGGACCCGCACAAGCGGUGGAGCUGCGAAGAACGCGAAGAACCUUACCUGGUCUAUUUUAGGUGGGCUGACAUCCUUCUGACCGGUCCUUAACCGGACCUUUCCUUCGGGACAGGAGAGACAGGUGGUGCAUGGUUGUCGCAGCUCGUGUCGUGAGAUGUUGGGUUAAGUCCCGCAACGAGCGCAACCCCUAUCUUUAGUAGCCAGCACUCUAGAGAGACUGCCAGGGAUAACCUGGAGGAAGGUGGGGACGACGUCAAAUCAUCAUGCCCCUUAUGACCAGGGCUAC
rnacentral:rRNA from 1 species